AUCUGUUGCGGGCAAAUAAAAUGAAUAUGGCUAUCAAAACCGCCCGCUGUUAUGAUUUGGCCCUCUCCUGCUAUAGCUUCAGUUGAUGGACCAAUAAUGAUAUCCACCGCUUGCUGUGUAUCUGGAUUUCCUGCUUUGCCAAUGGCAUGAAUCAAGCCAUCUUUUAGCCCUAUAUCAGCUUUGUAAAUUCCGUUAACAUCCACAAUCAAGGCAUUGGUAAUAACAGUAUCCACAGCGCCAUCAGCUCUUGAUACCUGCGAUUGCCCCAUGCCAUCAC
rnacentral:sRNA from 1 species